CAGUCGCCGCGGGAAUACGUAGGUGGCAAGCGUUGUCCGGAAUUAUUGGGCGUAAAGCGCGCGCAGGCGGCCUCUUAAGUCUGAUGUGAAAGCCCCCGGCUCAACCGGGGAGGGCCAUUGGAAACUGGGAGGCUUGAGUAUAGGAGAGAAGAGUGGAAUUCCACGUGUAGCGGUGAAAUGCGUAGAGAUGUGGAGGAACACCAGUGGCGAAGGCGACUCUUUGGCCUAUAACUGACGCUGAGGCGCGAAAGCGUGGGGAGCAAACAGGAUUAGAUACCCCGGUAGUCCCUGUCUCUUAUAC
rnacentral:rRNA from 1 species